rnacentral:rRNA from 1 species
UGAGGAAUAUUGGUCAAUGGGCGGGAGCCUGAACCAGCCAAGUCGCGUGAUGGAAGACGGUCUUACGGAUUGUAAACCUCUUUUGCCGGGGAGCAAAGGGCGCCACGCGUGGCGUUUCGAGAGUACCCGGAGAAAAAGCAUCGGCUAACUCCGUGCC